GCUCGCAUGGCGGAAUGGCAGACGCCGUGGACUUAAAAUCCACUGCCGGAAACGGCGUGCCGGUUCGACUCCGGCUGCGAGCACCA
rnacentral:tRNA from 1 species